ensembl:lncRNA novel transcript
CAGUGUUCAACUGGAAUGGCAGGUGAUGUGGAGAAAUAGGCCCAAGGCUAUAUAUAUAUUUGUUGGUGUUGGCUUGUGGUGGCCUUGAAUACCAGGCUAAGGAAUUUUACCAACAUUUUAGGAUCAAACCAAAACUCGUUUAGACUUUAUAAAGCUGGGCAAGGGCUUUUUAAGACCCAGCCCUAGUUUGCUCCUCUCUGGGCGCUGCUCAGUUCGUAGUAUUGACUGCCAGCUUCUCAGAAGAUAGCAGCAAUGAAUCUGGCAGCUGGAACGUGUCUCCGUCCUCUCUGCCUACCCCAGGAGAUUGUGUCUGCACAUGGCUGUUGUUGGACUCUGGGCAUGUGAGUAGAAAAGAGAGAGAAGACAGAGAAGGCGCUUGAUCUACACAGCCACAAACCGGAAAUGGCAUGGCACUCCUGCUCACCUUCCAUGGCAAGAGCGACCUGCGUGGUACCAUCGAGAGGCGUGAGGGAGAACCUGGGAAAGGCAUCCUUCCUGCACCUCCACAGGAGAAGAAAAUGGUCUAAUUACCACAUAGCACCGACUCUGCUACAAUAACAUCACCGCUCUCUUGAGCUCAGUCGUCCUUUUUGAGGCCAGCAAAGUCCUCAGUUAAUUUUUGGAAAAGUUGACAGGAAAGAGCUGUCCAGAAAAUUUUGUCUUCAGGUUUCCUAGUAGUAACAGCCAUCAUUUACUAAAUGUUUACUGCAUAUCACAUAUCAA